rnacentral:rRNA from 1 species
AGCGGAGGAAAGAACCACCAGGAUGCCUCAGUACGGCGAGUGAAGCGGCACAGCUCAAAUUUGAAUCUGGCUCUGCCCGAGUGUACUUGUAGAGAUGUCUCGGAGUCGUCCCCGGUCUAGUCUGACAGACGUCGCAGAGGGUGAGAGUCCGUACGCGGCUGGGUGCUCUCCGUGUGAGACUCCUCAACGAGUCGAGUUGUUUGGGAAUGCAGCUCUAAACUGGAGGUAAAUUCCUUCUAAAGCUAAAUACCGGCCAGAGACCGAUAGCGCACAAGUAGAGUGAUCGAAAGAUGAAAAGCACUUUGGAAAGAGAGUCAAAAAGUACGUGAAAUUGUUGAAAGGGAAGCGUUUACAGCCAGACUCGACGGUGGUUGCUCAACCGGUCUUUGCCCGGUGCACUCUUCCACCGACGGGCCAGCGUCAGUUCGGGCGGUCGGAUAAAGGCUUUGGGAAUGUGGCUCCCCCGGGAGUGUUAUAGCCCUUUGCACAAUGCGGCCUGCUCGGACUGAGGACAGCGUUUCACGGACGCUGGCGUAAUGGCUGUCAACGGCCCGUCUUGAAACACGGACCAAGGAGUCUAACAUCUAUGCGAGUGUUUGGGUGUCAAACCCGUACGCGUAAUGAAAGUGAACGGAGGCGGGAGCCCUUACGGGCGCACCGUCGACCGAUCCUGAUGUCUUCGGAAGGAUUUGAGUAAGAGCAUAGCUGUUGGGACCCGAAAGAUGGUGAACUAUGCCUGAAUAGGGUGAAGCCAGAGGAAACUCUGGUGGAGGCUCGCAGCGGUUCUGACGUGCAAAUCGAUCGUCAAAUUUGGGUAUAGGGGCGAAAGACUAAUCGAACCAUGAAACCUACCUCCUAGGUGGUUGAGAGGGCGGCUCCGGCCGCCGUAGUUUGGAAGAGCGACAUUGCCAAAGUGCGGGGACCCUUGCCAAUCCGCGGCUACCACCUGCCCCCGAGAGCUGGGCGGGUCAACGGUAACAGAGCCGCGGAUCAAGCGACCCGCAGCCAGGCCCCGGGUACACAUGUACCCGGGGCUGGGUUCACAGGCCAGACGGUGAUGGGUGCCUCAGGGCACUUAAGAUAUGGUCGAAUCCACCUGAAGUGGGUGACAGAACGAG